AAUCUCUAGUUCGCUGUCCUCUUCCCUCACUCCUUUUCUCGGGAACAGAACCCUUUUGCUUCAUGGUGCAUCGCUGAGAUACUGUGCGGGUUGAAGAAGGGGGACGUUGUGGAGCUAACCCUGGUCAUGGGGAAAGGCUUCGAGAUUGAUUAGAUCGAACCGCUGGAGAAUUAUCCUACAGUUCUAAUUUUCACAACAGGAUACGGAAUCAGGUCUUUGAUUGAAUUAGGGUUUAAUGUUGAUAAGGGAUUCGAAGUGAAGCUCUUCUAUGGGGCCAGAAACCUUGAAAGAAUGGCUUAUCAGAUAUUAAGGAGCAGCACGAAUUGUUGCAGGGUUAGGUUUCCCAGAUUUCAAUGAAGCAAGAGAAAAGGAGUUGCCUCUUCUUCAAGAGGUAGAUGCCAAAGUUAAAGAAUUGCGCCAAACCAUUGAAGGCCUUAACAACGACCAAGUUAAAGUCAGAACUUCUCUUAAGAAGUUGAAGGAGAAGAGUGGAGAAAUCGACAAAGAGGAGAAGGGAUUUGUAGAUGCAAAAUGAGUUCAACGUACUGGUGGUCAGAAGUUGGCUUUGCACGAUUCUGUAUGAGUGGUGGGUGUUUUUCUUCACAAUUGCUGGUGUUGUUUUAAAAUUGAAGCUUGCAUCACCUAGACAGUAAGAGACCUUACAUGUCAACUAUCAACAUAUGCAUUCCUCCAACCACUAGUCUGUAGAUUUUCAUGUUUCAGAUUUCGCUAGCUAGCCACUGUCCUUCUUAAGCAGUUUAUUAAAAAACACUGGAAUGAGGGCGAUGAAGCAUUUGAACACCCUGCUGUUUCAAGUGCUGAGAAGGUAUUUCCAGCAGUUGACAUUUUCAAGUGCUCAAAUUUGUAAUACUGUUGACCUUGAUAUUUACUUUGUAUUCACUUUCUAGAGACUUUGGUAACAAGUUGGGCAUGUAUCUAUAAAUUUAGUUGCCUACCUUUGUAUUAGUAGCUUUUCUCUUUUCUUCCUAUGUUGUUCUGGAGAUAUGACCUAUAUUUUUUUUUUUUUUGUUCAUUAUUUUUUGAACUGACAUUGUGCAUCUACGUUUCUGGAUAUCGACUCCCAUAAUUUGAUAGUGUUUUGUUAUUUUAGAUUAUCUACUUUUGAUGUUGUUAUAUUAUAUAUUUAACAAUGGGUGUACUUGCUGGUGAAGUAAGUUGGUGAAAAUUCAGUACUUUAUAAUAUGUAGUAGUUGGGUAAAAAUUGCACAGUGAGCGGAAAUAUCACCCAACAUAAUUUCACUCGUAUUCAUUUAGUGAAUAUAAUUUUUAUUAUUUUGGGUUCGACCAAUGCAAGACAGAAUGCGUCUUUUAAUUAAGAUUUUUUUUUAUAGGGAAACACCAUUUGAUUUUGUUUAUGAAGAAACCAAUUGAUGUGAUGUG